AGGUGUGAGUUUGUGAAGAGUUAAAACGGAGUCUUAUCUCGUGUUCUUCGGCUUCAACUUCAACCCGAGAAACUUAUCUCUCGUCUCAUCAUUUCGGAAACCAUAAAGCUAUCCGAAACGAUUCUUUCACCAUACCCAUUUAUUGGCGAUAUCCGAGCCUCGAUAUUUCGGCAGGAAAGUACGUUAUUCUCAUUCACAUUCAUUGUUUCAUCUUUCACUUCACCUCCAUCGAUCUGUUUCUGUUCUCAAAUGCUUGGCCGGAUUCCGCUCCCACUCCCACCAUUUCGUCCGAUAUCUCGGAUUUAGCUUUUUAUUCCGGAGUUCCUUAGCUAUGGAGUGAGUAGGAUAAGUCAGGUUAUAAACAUCCAGAGGUGGAGUUUGAGGAGCUUCUCACUGAUAUGAAAUUCAAGGAAAAGCAAGUGUGGGAGCCUGUUUGCACUAGCAGGCACAACUUGUUUCACUAAGAAGGUUUUAAAGUUCAUUGAGUUUCCUCUAAAUAAGAAGUAAGUCACAUUACAGUUAUGAGUAACCGAACAUCUUAAACAGGGAAUGGUACCUCCACGAGCUUCUGAUCCUGGUUGGGCUCAUGGAAUUAUGGUCAAUGGAGGUCGCCAGAAGAUCAAAUGCAAAUACUGUAAUAAAGUUAUGCUUGGGGGUGGCAUAUCCAGACUAAAGCAACAUCUAGCUGGGGAAAGGGGAAAUGUAGCUCCAUGUGAGGAAGUUCCAGAAGAAGUUAAAGUGCAGAUUCAACAACUUUUAGGUUUUAAAGUUUUGGAGAAGCUGAAACGGCAGAAGAAUGGUAGCAAGAAUGCAGUAUCGUGCUUUCCAAGUAGGGAAGAAAUAAAUGAUGGGACACACGGGGUUCAGAAUUCACGUCGACACUCUUUGCGGAGAAAGGCAAAGGAGGUACAGGAAGGAGUUACUAAGGAAGCAAAGAGGAAAAAGAAACAUCUUCCAACAUCUUUUGUUACUCAAUCCGUUAACCAGAAUACUGCCCAGAUAGAAAGCAUAGAACAAGCUGAUAUGGUUGUUGCCAAAUUUGUAUACCAAGCGGGUAUACCAAUCACUGUUGUGAACUCACAAUAUUUCCAACAAAUGGCUGAUGCAAUUGCUGCUGUAGGCCCUGGUUAUAAGAUGCCCACCUAUCAUUCUUUGAUGGGCAAAUUGCUUGACAGAAGUGUCCAGGAUGUUGGAGAAUAUGUUGAAGAGUUGAGAAAAUCGUGGGAGGUUACUGGGUGCUCAGUCUUGGUUGAUAGGUGGAUGGAUAGAACUGGUUCUGUAGUCAUAAACUUUUUUGUCUAUUGUUCCAAGGGUACCAUGUUCCUUAAAUCUGUUGAUUUAUCUGAAAUUUCAGAAUCAGCUGAGGGCCUUCUAAAUUUAUUUGACACCAUUGUUCAAGAAGUUGGACCGAAGAAUAUAGUCAAUUUUGUGACAGAUACUUCUCCCUUGUUUAAAGCUGCUGGUAUACUCUUGGUGGAAAAAUACAAGACCUUUUUCUCAAGUGUUUGUGCUGCACAUUGUGUGGAGUUGAUCCUUGAGGAAAUUGAAAAAAUGGUAGAAGUAAAAGAGGUUGUUGGGAAAGCGAAAAGGAUGGUUCAGUUCAUAUACAACAAUGUCUGGGUCCUAAACCAAAUAAAGAAGAGAAAUGGUGGAAGAGAAAUUAUUCACCUUGCAUCUACAAGAUAUUUCUCCAUCUUCUUGACUCUGCAGAAUAUUUUGUCCUUGAAGGACCAUCUUCAUCAGACAUUCACUAGUGAUGCUUGGAUGCAGUCAGAUUUGUCACAGUAUGGGGCUGGACUUGAGGUGACAAAGAUCACUGCAGAUCCACAAUUCUGGUCGAAGUGUGAUCAUAUUACAAUGGGAACAAAACCAUUACUUUCUGUGUUGCAAUUUCUUGAAUCAGAGGAGAAGCCAUCUGCUGGAUUUAUAUAUGAUGCAUUUGAAAAAACAAAGAGCAGUGUCAUGCUCGCUUUCAACCAGAAGGGAUCUGUGUACUUGCCAUAUUUGAAAGCCAUUGACCAUGUUUUACAGAAGGAAUUUCAGAGCUCUCUUCAUGUGGCUGCAUACUACCUAAACCCGUCGAUAUUCUAUAGUCCUACAUUCUUAUCCAGCAAAGUUAUUCAAAAGGGUUUACUCGAUUGUAUUGAAGCCUUAGAGCCGGAUAUAACAUCUCAGGUCAUGAUUACAAACAAUAUAAAUUUCUAUGAGGAAGCCAUUGGAGAUUUUGGGCGGCCAGUUGCAUUACAUGGUCGGGAUUCACUGGCCCCAGCUACUUGGUGGUCAUUGUACGGAAGUGAUUACCCAGAUUUACAACGGUUGGCUGUUAGGAUAUUGAGUCAGACUUGCAGCAUUACACAAUGUCGUAAAAGAUGUAGCACGUUCAAUUAUCUCUAUUUAAAGAAGAACUGGCUGGAAAAGCAGAAGAUGAAUGACCUUGCAUUUGCUCAUUAUAACUUGCAGCUCCAGGAGAGGAGACUGGAGACUUGUAAAGCAAGGUGCUCAAUAGAUGCAGUAGAUCCUGUUUUUUCGGAAGCCAUUGAUGCAAACAUGGAAGAUUGGGUGAAGGAUGAGCACAAGAGGUGGGUGGAUGUGAAGGUCACUAAUCAGGAGACCUUGGUGGAGCAUAAAUUGUCUAAUAGGGAUAGUUGUAUUGGCAGCACAGAUGAGAGAAGCACUGAGGAGACUAGAGAUACAGAUGCUUUAUUGGCGAAGUGAAGACAGGACAACAUCUUGGAGGGAGCUGUCUCUUUGCAUGGCAGCUUUGAACUCAUCAAAGGUAACCUUUCCAUCACUGUUGGAAUCCAUCAGAUCAAAUAUUUCAUCUAAUUUCCCGGGUUCUGUGAUGUCCACUGGAAGGCAAUCAUCAGGUAAAGCCUGCUCAAAAUUAAGAAGGUCAUCAUGCUUAAGGAGAAACAACUGAAAAGGCUUACUACCAGGUUCUUUUCAGGUUUUGACGUAUCUCUAAUGUGACUAGAGCAGUUGACUGUGGUGCUGUAGGGACUCACAAGCUCUACGUGAUAUAUUCAGCAAGGCGAAGAGCAUCAUCACCUCGUGAAUUUCUAAGGCUGGAAAAUCCACAAAGUAUCUCACGCAUGUCAAUUGUUCCAUCCCGAUUAUUGUCAAAGAGGUCAAAAAUGCGAGGUGCAAGAGGGAUAAGUGAAGACAUAUUCAUUGCUUUCAGCACCUCUUCAAAUUCAGGAAGAGUAGCAUUGUCGCCUUUUGCACAUCUGCAUAUUACAAGAUCACUUACAGCCAUUAUCAGUUGCUGCUUUUGGCGAUUGGAUUGAGCAAUAAAAGGUAAUUAUUGUACAAAAUAAAGAAAGGAAACUUCAUUACAUACCCAGAGAGAAGGAUAUAUAAGAUCACGCCCAGAGACCACAUAUCACUUUUGGAGGUAAUCGUUCCUUGGGAAAGAGCUUCUGGUGAGACAUAAUCAAUGGAACCAAACAAUCCAACAACUGGUUUUCGGGUUUCAAGUCCCUAUGUAUGAUAUUAGCCUCAUGAAGAGCCUUCAAACCACUUGCAAUCUGUCUCACAACUUCAGCAGCUUUUGCUUCCGUGUGCCUUGUCUGAGCCACAAUCCUAUCGAAAAGCUCGCCUCCCGAACAAAGCUCCAACACCAAGUGAACCCCAUUCGAAUCUUCAUACACAUCGUAAAGAUCAAUCACAUUUUCAUGAGGUGAGACAUUCUCAACUAUCCUCCUCAUCACCAAAAUCUCAUUUGUCAGCAAGGCAUCAGAAAUCAUAGACUUUCUUGUAGGAACCAUGGAAGACACACUCUUGAGGGCAUUACGAUUUGGUGGAAAUCCUGAGAAAGCUGAUGGCCCAAUCCUUCUUAGUGUUUUAAUGGCUACUUCUUUUUUCUCCCUCCUUGACUUACUAAUACCUUUUCUGACUACUGAGAAUCCUCCUCUCCCUAAAACAUCAGAUAUCUCGUACUCCUCAGAAAGUUUUCGAGCUUGCUGUAUCAUUGUUACCGGAAAA